GACGAACGCUGGCGGCGUGCUUAACACAUGCAAGUCGAGCGGUAAGGCCCUUUCGGGGGUACACGAGCGGCGAACGGGUGAGUAACACGUGGGUGACCUGCCCUCAGCUUUGGGAUAAGCCUGGGAAACUGGGUCUAAUACUGGAUAUGACUCCACGGUGCAUGUCGUGGGGUGGAAAGCCUUGUGCGGCUGAGGAUGGGCCCGCGGCCUAUCAGCUUGUUGGUGGGGUGAUGGCCUACCAAGGCGACGACGGGUAGCCGGCCUGAGAGGGCGACCGGCCACACUGGGACUGAGACACGGCCCAGACUCCUACGGGAGGCAGCAGUGGGGAAUCUUGCGCAAUGGGCGAAAGCCUGACGCAGCGACGCCGCGUGAGGGAUGACGGCCUGGU
rnacentral:rRNA from 1 species